rnacentral:rRNA from 1 species
CAAAGAUUUAUUGCUGAAAGAUGGUCUCGCGUCUGAUUAGCUGGACGGCGGGGUAACGGCCCACCAUGGCGACGAUCAGUAGCCGGUCUGAGAGGAUGAACGGCCACAUUGGGACUGAGAUACGGCCCAGACUCCUACGGGAGGCAGCAGUGGGGAAUAUUGGGCAAUGGGCGAAAGCCUGACCCAGCAACGCCGCGUGAAGGAAGAAGGCCUUCGGGUUGUAAACUUCUUUUACCAGGGACGAACAAAUGACGGUACCUGGAGAAAAAGCAACGGCUAACUACGUGCCAGCAGCCGCGGUAAUACGUAGGUUGCAAGCGUUGUCCGGAUUUACUGGGUGUAAAGGGCGUGUAGGCGGAGAUGCAAGUUGGGAGUGAAAUCCCGGGGCUCAACCCCGGAACUGCUUUCAAAACUGCAUCCCUUGAGUAUCGGAGAGGCAAGCGGAAUUCCUAGUGUAGCGGUGAAAUGCGUAGAUAUUAGGAGGAACACCAGUGGCGAAGGCGGCUUGCUGGACGACAACUGACGCUGAGGCGCGAAAGCGUGGGGAGCAAACAGGAUUAGAUACCCUGGUAGUCCACGCUGUAAACGAUGAAUACUAGGUGUGGGAGGACUGACCCCUUCCGUGCCGCAGUUAACACAAUAAGUAUUCCACCUGGGGAGUACGACCGCAAGGUUGAAACUCAAAGGAAUUGACGGGGGCCCGCACAAGCAGUGGAUUAUGUGGUUUAAUUCGACGCAACGCGAAGAACCUUACCAGGGUUUGACAUCCAACUAACGAAGUAGAGAUACAUUAGGUGCCCUUCGGGGAAAGUUGAGACAGGUGGUGCAUGGUUGUCGUCAGCUCGUGUCGUGAGAUGUUGGGUUAAGUCCCGCAACGAGCGCAACCCCUAUUGUUAGUUGCUACGCAAGAGCACUCUAGCGAGACUGCCGUUGACAAAACGGAGGAAGGCGGGGACGACGUCAAAUCAUCWUGCCCCUUAUAUCCUGGGCUACACACGUAAUACAAUGGUGGUAAACAGAGGGAGGCGAUGUCGCGAGACGGAGCAAAUCCCUAAAAGCCAUCUCAGUUCGGAUUGCAGGCUGCAWCUCGCCUGCAUGAAGCUGGAAUUGCUAGUAAUCUCCCC